rnacentral:tRNA from 1 species
UCGUAGUUCAGUUGGUUAGAACGCCUGCCUGUCACGCAGGAGGUCGACGGUUCGAGUCCGUUCGG